UGCCAGCCGCCGCGGUAAUACGAGGGGACCUAGCGUAGUUCGGAAUUACUGGGCUUAAAAAGUUCGUAGGUGGUUGAAAAAGUUAGUGGUGAAAUCCCAGAGCUUAACUCUGGAACUGCCUUUAAAACUUUUCAGCUAGAGUAUGAUAGAGGAAAGCAGAAUUUCUAGUGUAGAGGUGAAAUUCGUAGAUAUUAGAAAGAAUACCAAUUGCGAAGGCAGCUUUCUGGAUCAUUACUGACACUGAGGAACGAAAGCAUGGGUAGCGAAGAGGAUUAGAUA
rnacentral:rRNA from 1 species